rnacentral:tRNA from 2 species
GCCGAAGUGGUGGAACUGGUAGACGCGCUGGAUUCAAAAUCCAGUAUCCGCAAGGGUGUGUGGGUUCGAGUCCCACCUUCGGCACCA